rnacentral:rRNA from 1 species
UUCUCCCUGAGACUAUAAGUCUCCUGAAGGAACGUUAAAGACGAUGACGUUGAUAGGCCGGGUGUGUAAGCGCAGCGAUGCGUUGAGCUAACCGGUACUAAUGAACCGUGAGGCUUAACCUUACAACGCCGAAG